GAAGGAGCCACCACCUUCUGGAUCGAAGUUCCCACCACCUGGACUCGCCGCCGCCGGCGCCGGCGACUCCUCCAUCCAGCACCAGCAGCAGCAGUCUCUCUCUCUCCUCGCCUCCUCAGCUCCUCGCAGCUGUAGCCUGUAGGUAGCAACUAGCAAGUGGCAUGGCAUCUGGGAGCGCCACAGCUGGUAGCCAAUUUGUGUUUGAUGUGUUUUGCAAGAUGCAACUUGCAAUGAGAUGGGGGGAUGAGGAUCGAUCAAGCACUUGAUAAAAGAGACACCAAAUGGGGCAGUACUCUAGUCUAUUCUUUAUUUUGAUCUAUUUCUCUUUAAUUUUCUGUCUUAACUCUAUAUUACAUGGCAUAUUUUUAUUUUAUUUUAUAUAUA